CACGCCGUAAACGAUGAGCACUAGGUGUCGGGGCCGCAAGGCUUCGGUGCCGCAGUUAACGCAUUAAGUGCUCCGCCUGGGGAGUACGCACGCAAGUGUGAAACUCAAAGGAAUUGACGG
rnacentral:rRNA from 1 species